AGCUGGAAUAAACGCGUGUCCCACUCAGAACCCGAAAAACAGGGUGUCCACAAUGGCGAAAUAUCUUUAAAAUAUUUUAGGAAUUACUAAAAAUAUUAUUAAAAUAUUCAGGGGAGUUACCAAAAAUGAUUAAACAAAAUACGCAUAAUGAGUGUGUUUGCGCCACUGGCACUUUCUUGGCCUGAUAAGAGAUUUGCAUCAAUGAAAAUGGAGCACUUUGGAGUCGGAGACAAAAAUGUGAAUGCACCGCAGGAUGUUGACUCUACAGCCGCUCUGACUAACUGGAAAAUCCCCCAUUACGAUAACUUUGAAAAUAUGCACUUUAUGGUUUGUUUGCGUUGCAAUUAUUUUGUUGCUGCUGAGGUUUCCUUGAAUUUUUGUGGUUGGCAACUAAGACAUGUAAAUCUUGUUAUUGAAUGCUUGCAAAGAUCUGGAUUUCGAAUCUAGUUUACGCUUUUCGAAUCCAACCGAAAGUGGUUUCAACUGCCGUAUCCAGCUAACUGUGAAGCCGUCGUCCAUAACUAUCUCUCUUCCACCGAUGAUCAUGAUCACCACGACGUUGUAAUCAAACAAACAAACAGUGGAUAAAAACAGACAGAGGAACGUGUUCUGUCGUCAAAUGGGCGUGAAGUCUUCUGAAAAUGGGAUGAUCUUGAAAAACGAAAUCUAAAGCCUAAGUAAAAUUUGCAUACUAUAUAUUUGCCACAUCUAAAGUAUGAAUGAAUUGCUAUAUAAUUUGUUAUCCAUUUUGUAAAGUCCCGAGAAAACAACGAACCCUAAUCAAUCCGCUGUGCGAAUUUCCUGCUGGCCGACUUAUCAAAAUCCAAAACAUAUGUUUGGAGGAACCACAAGGCUCCUGCUGUACUAUAGUACUACAAACUAAGCUCUGUAACGAAGUCCACUGAUUAGUGUCCCAUUGCCAGUAGACUACAAAAUACAGACGCGCAUAAAUAUA